rnacentral:rRNA from 1 species
AUUGAACGCUGGCGGCAGGCCUAACACAUGCAAGUCGAGCGGAUGAAGGGAGCUUGCUCCUGGAUUCAGCGGCGGACGGGUGAGUAAUGCCUAGGAAUCUGCCUGGUAGUGGGGGAUAACGUCCGGAAACGGGCGCUAAUACCGCAUACGUCCUGAGGGAGAAAGUGGGGGAUCUUCGGACCUCACGCUAUCAGAUGAGCCUAGGUCGGAUUAGCUAGUUGGUGGGGUAAAGGCCUACCAAGGCGACGAUCCGUAACUGGUCUGAGAGGAUGAUCAGUCACCAGGGAACUGGGACCCGGUCCAGACCCCUACGGGAGGCAGCGGUGGGAAAUUUUGGACAAUGGGGGAAAGCCUGAUCCAGCCAUGCCGCGGGUGUGAAGAAGGGCUUCGGUUUGUAAAGCACUUUAAGUUGGGAGGAAGGGCAGUAAGUUAAUCCCUUGCUGUUUGGACGUGACCAACAGAAUAAGCCCCGGCAAACUUCGG